rnacentral:rRNA from 1 species
UAGGGAAUCUUGCGCAAUGGGGGAAACCCUGACGCAGCGACGCCGCGCGCGGGAUGAAGGCCCUCGGGUUGUAAACCGCUUUCAGCAGGGACGAAAUUGACGGUACCUGCAGAAGAAGGCCCGGCCAACUACGUGCCAGCAGCCGCGGUAAUACGUAGGGGCCUAGCGUUGUCCGGAUUUAUUGGGCGUAAAGAGCUCGUAGGCGGUUCGGUAAGUCAGGUGUGAAAUCUCCACGCUCAACGUGGAGGCGCCACCUGAAACUGCCGUGACUCGAGUCCGAUAGGGGAGUGUGAUAUUCCCGGUGUAGCGGUGAGGUGCGCAGAUAUCGAGGGGAACACCAGUGGAGAAGGCGGCACUCUGGGCCGGUACUGACGCUGGGGAGCGAAAGCGUGGGGAGCGAACAGG